rnacentral:rRNA from 1 species
CCUACGGGGGGCACCAGUGGGGAAUCUUGGACAAUGGGCGAAAGCCCGAUCCAGCAAUAUCGCGUGAGUGAAGAAGGGCAAUGCCGCUUGUAAAGCUCUUUCACCGGUGAAGAUAAUGACGGUAACCGGAGAAGAAGCCCCAGCUAACUUCGUGCCAGCAGCCGCGGUAAUACGAAGGGGGCUAGCGUUGUUCGGAAUUACUGGGCGUAAAGCGCGCGUAGGCGGAUAGAUAAGUCAGAGGUGAAAUCCCGGGGCUCAACCCCGGAAUUGCCUUUGAUACUGUUUAUCUUGAGUGCAGAAGAGGUAAGUGGAAUUCCGAGUGUAGAGGUGAAAUUCGUAGAUAUUCGGAGGAACACCAGUGGCGAAGGCGGCUUACUGGUCUGCAACUGACGCUGAGGCGCGAAAGCGUGGGGAGCAAACAGGAUUAGAUACCCCAGUAGUC